rnacentral:rRNA from 1 species
CGAUCUGAAUCGGUAGGGGAGCUUCCCAUGGGCGGCGAAGCCGCCGGGCGACCGGCGGUGGAGCGCAUGGGAGUGAGAAUGCUGGCAUGAGUAGCGAGAGACGAGAGAGUAACUCGUCCGCCGUGAACCCGAGGUUUCCUGGGCAAGGCUAAUCCUCCCAGGGUCAGUCGGGGGCUAAGGCGAGGCCGGGAGGCGUAGCCGACGCGCAGCAGGCAGACAUUCCUGCACCGCGCACGCGGCGCUACGACCGACGGGGCGACGGAUGGGGGUGGCUCGGCGGGGUUCUGGACGUCCCCGUGAUGGAGCGCGGCCCGCGGACCAGGGAAAUCCGGUCCGCACGAGGGCGAGGCUCCGGACGAAGCGAUCAAGCGAAGCGAGUGAGCCCGAGGUCCCUAGAAAAACCCCUAGGCAGGCGCGUGCGCGCCCGUACCGCAAACCGACACAGGUGGGUGGGUAGAACAUACCGAGGCGAUCGGGUCAACCAUGGUCAAGGAACUCGGCACAAUGGCCCCGUAACUUCGGGAGAAGGGGUGCCCGCGCGUACGUGAACGGACUUGCUCCGGGAGCGGAGGCGGGCCGCAGUGGAGAGGCCCAAGCGACUGUUUACCAAAAACACAGGACUCUGCAGAAGCCGCAAGGCGACGUAUAGGGUCUGACGCCUGCCCGGUGCCGGAAGGUCACGCGGAGGAGUUAGCCGCAAGGCGAAGCCCCGAAGCCAAGCCCCGGUAAACGGCGGCCGUAACUAUAACGGUCCUAAGGUAGCGAAAUUCCUUGUCGGGUAAGUUCCGACCUGCACGAAAGGCGCAACGACUUGGGCGCUGUCUCGACCAUGGACCCGGUGAAAUUGCACUGGUCGUGAAGAUGCGACUUACCCGCGGAAGGACGGAGAGACCCCGUGAACCUUCACUGCAGCUUGGCAUUGGCCGCUGGUCCCGCGUGUAGAGGAUAGGCAGGAGGCACAGAUCCGGAGGCGCCAGCCCCCGGGGAGCCGCCCUUGGAAUACUGCCCUCGCGCGACCGGCGUCCUAACCCGAGGCCGUCAACCGGCUCGGGGACCGUGCCAGGCGGGCAGUUUGACUGGGGCGGUCGCCUCCUAAAGAGUAACGGAGGCGCGCGAAGGUCCGCUCGGGACGGUCGGCAACCGUCCUUUUGAAUGCAAGAGUACAAGCGGGCUUGACUGCGAGGCCCACAAGCCGAGCAGGUGCGAAAGCAGGCUCUAGUGAUCCGGCGGCCCCGAGUGGGUGGGCCGUCGCUCAACGGAUAAAAGGUACUCCGGG